UGCAGUCGAGCGGUAACAGGAAUUAGCUUGCUAAUUUGCUGACGAGCGGCGGACGGGUGAGUAACGCGUAGGAAUCUGCCUGGUAGUGGGGGACAACAUGUGGAAACGCAUGCUAAUACCGCAUACGCCCUACGGGGGAAAGGAGGGGAUCUUCGGACCUUUCGCUAUCAGAUGAGCCUGCGUGAGAUUAGCUAGUUGGUGGGGUAAAGGCUCACCAAGGCGACGAUCUCUAGCUGGUCUGAGAGGAUGAUCAGCCACACUGGGACUGAGACACGGCCCAGACUCCUACGGGAGGCAGCAGUGGGGAAUAUUGGACAAUGGGCGCAAGCCUGAUCCAGCCAUGCCGCGUGUGUGAAGAAGGCCUUCGGGUUGUAAAGCACUUUCAGAGGUGAGGAAGGGUGUGCCGUUAAUACCGGUAUGCUUUGACGUUAGCCUCAGAAGAAGCACCGGCUAACUCUGUGCCAGCAGCCGCGGUAAUACAGAGGGUGCGAGCGUUAAUCGGAAUUACUGGGCGUAAAGCGCGCGUAGGCGGUUUGUUAAGUCGGAUGUGAAAUCCCCGGGCUCAACCUGGGAAUUGCACCCGAUACUGGCAGGCUAGAGUACGGUAGAGGGGUGUGGAAUUUCCUGUGUAGCGGUGAAAUGCGUAGAUACAGGAAGGAACAUCAGUGGCGAA
rnacentral:rRNA from 1 species